CCCCUUGGCUGCUACAGGUGCUGCUGCUGCGACUGCACCUUCGGCAAGGUGGAGUGCUGGAUCGUUGAGGAUGUCCCUUCCGUGCGCCUUCGUCUCAUCUGGUACUUGAAUAUGUGUUCUCUCAGUGAUUACGAGUGAUGUCGUAGGGUGCGUGAGACUGGACGCUGAGCUCAUUGCCCUUUGCGUGCAGAGGUACAUGCUUCGAGCUCCAGCAUUGCAUUCAAUGAUGGUAGGAUUCUUCUGCGAACGGCAGCAAGGCCCGUCGAAAGGCGCAGGCAAGGUCGAUUUGAAGUGUGCGGUCUUUUUGGACUUGGUGUCCCUGAGCUUGCAGUCAUUGCCGGAGUGGCCGCCCUUGUGUUCGGCCCAAAGCAGCUCCCCGCCAUAGGCAAGAGUCUUGGCAAAACUGUGAAGAGCUUUCAGACGGUACGCACGGGAUAUACGGUGUCUUCAUACCUGCUUAUAAUUUCCUUGUCAUUGGGUGUGUUAUUUUUGCGUCUACACCCUAGCAAUGCUGAAUUUGGAGUGAACUGUCCCUCAUGUUGUUUUAGUACAUUCCUCGAUGUAACUCAUCUUUUGAAUACCAGUCUCUAUUUCAAUUUUUCGGUAUUUUGAGAGGUUGCAAAUUCGAUAUGAUGAAGCCUGUUCGCAUUCCUCGGUUCUGCUUUUGUGUCAAAUGGCAUGAGAGUUCACAAGAUGUGUGUUAGCUACCAGUUCGAUUUUCUUCGGUUCCUCCGCUCUACACUCGUUAUCCAAGUUUGAUCAAAUGCCUUUUUGUUUUUUAUUUAUUUAUUUAUUUUUAAUUUAAUUUUGUUUUGUUUUUUGUUUUUGUUUUUUGUUUUUUGUUGCAGGCGGCGAAAGAGUUCGAAUCAGAAAUUUCCAAGGCAAAGGAGUCUGGCGAGGAAGGACAGGACAGCACUGCAGUAGGAGAGACGCCCAAGGAGGGAGUUGUAACGUCACCGAAGAAUUCUGAAACGGAUUCUAAUUCCAGUUGAUGGUACAAGGUUUUGUUAUCCGAUCCUAGAAUCUGUAAUAUUGUUAUUGAAGCCUAGUCUUGU
rnacentral:lncRNA from 1 species